rnacentral:rRNA from 1 species
CUACGUGCCAGCAGCCGCGGUAAUACGUAGGUCCCGAGCGUUGUCCGGAUUUAUUGGGCGUAAAGCGAGCGCAGGCGGUUAGAUAAGUCUGAAGUUAAAGGCUGUGGCUUAACCAUAGUACGCUUUGGAAACUGUUUAACUUGAGUGCAAGAGGGGAGAGUGGAAUUCCAUGUGUAGCGGUGAAAUGCGUAGAGAUCUGGAGGAAUACCGGUGGCGAAGGCGGCCCCCUGGACAAAGACUGACGCUCAGGUGCGAAAGCGUGGGGAGCGAACAGGAUUAGAUACCCUGGUAGUCCACGCCGUAAACGAUGUCGACUUGGAGGUUGUGCCCUUGAGGCGUGGCUUCCGGAGCUAACGCGUUAAGUCGACCGCCUGGGGAGUACGGCCGCAAGGUUAAAACUCAAAUGAAUUGACGGGGGCCCGCACAAGCGGUGGAGCAUGUGGUUUAAUUCGAUGCAACGCGAAGAACCUUACCUACUCUUGAC